AACAAACGCUGGCGGCGUGCCUAAUACAUGCAAGUCGAACGGGGAAAGCUUUCGGGUGAGUACUAGUGGCGCACGGGUGAGUAACGCGUGGAUAAUCUGCCUUAGAGUGGGGGAUAACUAGUCGAAAGAUUAGCUAAUACCGCAUAAGACCACAAGAACUGCGGUUCAAGGGGUCAAAGGUUUUUCGCUCUAAGAUGAGUCCGCGUAAGAUUAGCUAGUUGGUAGGGUAACGGCCUACCAAGGCGACGAUCUUUAACUGGUCUGAGAGGAUGAUCAGUCACACUGGAACUGUGACACGGUCCAGACUCCUACGGGAGGCAGCAGUAGGGAAUAUUGCACAAUGGAGGAGACUCUGAUGCAGCGACGCCGCGUGAGUGAUGAAGGCCUUCGAGUCGUAAAGCUCUGUCGCAGGGGAAUAACACAAUGAAGGUACCCUGUAAGAAAGGAUCGGCUAACUUCGUGCCAGCAGCCGCGGUAACAC
rnacentral:rRNA from 1 species